UUUGUGACACUGAGGGCCUCUCGUCCAUCAAUUCGUCUGAAAAGAAGGCAUUGAAAGCCUCUAAAUUGAGCGGUGUAGUCUUUCGCGUCAUCGGUCAGUUUUGCCAUUGAUUAGUGGUGACCUUUGACCUCUAAAGUAUAUGUAAACAACGCCAGGUAUUCUCAGUAACCCCCCACGAUUCAAAAUCCUGAAAAGAAUAAUUACCAUGACCUCAGAAGGUGGAAUUUUCCAUCACAUGAUCGUAUGAUGACCUCUGUCCUUGGUGCUGAUUGGAUGUUAGUGCGUAUGUAUAUGCCCAUGUAUGGUGGUGAAAAGGCCCGCCUACUCGACCCUUGCCAAGGCUGAAUUGAAGAGAUUCCGUGUCAAGGAUAAUGUUUACAUGCCCUUUGGUGGUUUCAAUGAAGGAGAACUCAGACGACGCUUGUAAGGCGAGGUGAAGUGAGGGGGCGAGUUUGGGUUAUGUCUGGAGUCUGGACUGUAGUUUCAGUGUGUAGUCUAGGCUCUUUGGGCUGUUACAAGGACUUUCAAACAUACUGGGGGACUUCGCCUAACGCCUGAGUAUCACACAUUGACGCAACCCUUUCACGAUGAUCGGACCCGACCAGUCCACGUGCUCCGGUUUGGAGCGGGACCAACCGAAUGAUGACCCGAGCGGGGAAGACCUAAGCAGCAGGGAGCAAGAGUUUCAGCUGGCGAUGGCCUGUCUACUUACCUCACCCGUCAUGAACGAAGUGGAGAGGAGACCGCGGAAGAAAGAUCGUGUGAAACGACUCAAGAGAAAGAGGAAGAGUAAAGGCAAGCAGAAGAAGAACAUCGCUCAGCAACCAAGGGAAAAGGACAAUACCCCCAGUUCAAAAAGAACAAGCAGAUAGCAUAUAAAAAUAUAAGUCAUGCACUGUAAAUAUUUAUCUUGAUAUAUAUUUUAACACGUUUGUACAACAAAGUAUAAUGUACAUAUGGUUAAUGCAAUGAGGAAACUGUUUGAAUCGAUUUUUUGUAGUUGUAAUAUUAAUGUGUUUAAACAGCUUAUAAAUGAUACGAAUUUGAUAUUUUCUUUACAAUCUACAGUUUAUCUUGAUAGCCAGCUCAAAAGGUCCUCGAAAUCCAAUAUGGCGGUAAAAAUAGCUCAGCCUUGAAAUCCACGUCAUCGGGGGUUAGUGGCACCGGCUAAUCAAACGGCGACAGUUGAACUUCUAACCGUUAACGCAAUCAAUAGCGUCCGAUACAGCCUAACGGGGUCCCGGUGUAAUUCUGUUAGCAAAGACCGGGCCCGACUGUUAGCUCGUGUUAUAGACUGUUCGCUGAUGGAAUUGUUAUCGAUGUGGAGGCUGAUUGUGGGCGAUUUAGCGUGGAUGCUAUCCGAGUUUACAUAAAACUGAUUACACUUGUGCUCUCUGACUGAUCGCGCAUAGUAGGGUCUGUAUUCAAAGGAAGAGACAUUACGUAUUGCAUUUAUGAAGAUGCUUACAGAUAAUUAUGUUUAACUUCACGGAAGAGAAACAUAUUGUUUUUGAGCUAUUUCUUCUCCAAACAAAUGAGGUCAGUGUUCUAGACCAGAUGGCUGUCACCAUGGUUACUGGAAGUUUAAGACACCCUGUGGUGUUCGAUUUCAAAGUCGAAAAUAUACCAAAUGGCAGGACAGAGCUGGUGAUUGAGUAAGAGUAAGCAGUAGAUUGUUAGGAUAUAACAUGUAAAGGUAAAUAUUAUGUUGCCUUUCGAGUAUAGAUGUACGUUACAUCAACUCACAAUGUAUAGUUUCUUACAUGUUGGAAGUAUUUGAUACAUUGAUGUAUAACUAUGAGUAAUCAUGGCUGAAUAAAAGUAUUUCAAGUUA